CGUGCAGGUCUCUAUGAAGAUCGCUGUUCCUGACAUACCAAGGAGCAUCCACAAUGUUCCUCAGCACCUGUUCUGGAACCGUUGUAUUACAUUGAUGUUGCUGUCUUUGGUACACCCCCAAAGUUGUAUACCAUAUGUAAUCUUUGAAUA